rnacentral:tRNA from 1 species
GGAGGGGUGGCAGAGCGGUUGAAUGCACCGGUCUUGAAAACCGGCAUAGGUUAAUACCCUAUCGUGGGUUCAAAUCCCACCCCCUCCGCCA